UCUUUGUUCCCUGACCAGGGAUUGAACCCUGGGCUGCGGCAGUGAAAGCACGGAGUCUGAACCACUGGCCUGCAGGGGAAUUUCCCAGAGUAGCAUCUUCAAAGAUCUGCCUGGCAGCUGUUGCGGACCAUGGUUUAGAAAGAGGAGAGGUAGGAGGCAGGAAGUCCAGGUGGGAGGCUGAUCCUAGCAAGAGAUGCUGAGGACCUGAACCAAAGUGAUGGCAAUGAGAGGGAAGAGGAGGGGGCAGAUGUGAAAGAUCUGGAUAGGACUUGUAAGAGGAGAGAGCCUGGAGAAGGGGGCUUGAGGAUGAGUUUGGUUUUGGAUACGUUGCGUUUCCAGUACCCAUGGGGCUCCCAGGAGGAGCCGUCCCAUAGGCAGUUGGGGAUACUGGUCUUUGGCACCCAGAGAAGCGCAGGCUGCAGAUACAGAUUUGAGGGUCACCAGCCUAGAGGUGUGGCUUAAAAAUCAAGGAAAUGAAUUCAAUGUCCAGGAAGAGGGUCGAGUCAAAGAGAAUGGUAACAGAGGCCACCUGAGAGGGGCUGGUGAGCAUUUCCAUCAGCAGAGCAGCCCAAGGGCAUCUGAACACAAUGGCAGAAGCAUCCAACAUCCCACACCUGUGAGCUGCUCCCUAGGAGUCUGCCAGGGACCCAAGGGCCAUGGCAAAGCUUUGGGGUACUUUGGUGUGCAUGUUGGAGAUUAUAUUAUUUUGUUGACAAUAAUUUGUCUUAAUGCUGAAAAUAUGAGUGGUCAGAAUGCUUGUAGUGGUGAAGAAACCCUCCGCAGGUUUCUGGGGAGGGCACAAACCCAGUGAAUAUAAUCUCAUUCUCCAGCACUGCAGUACUCUGUAAAUUAUAAAGGAAUUCCAUCAACAUUAUCCUAUAAUCUUCACAGCAGUUCUCUGAAGAGUAUGGAGCCAUUUAUGGAUGAAGACACUGGGGCUCAAAGAGGACCAUCCAUCUUGCAAGCCGUGAAGGCUAAUAUUGUAGCUGUGAAAUUUGACUCCAAGCUUCCUGGAAGCAAAAAUAGACACACAGAGGUCUGUACUCUGCCCAUUCCCUGAUGAGAAAGACAGUUUUGGGUGUAUUGGUUCAAAAGAAUUGACGAAUCUGGAAUUACACGGAAGGGCCCCUGACCAUGUCUGCUUCUGCCAUGGAGGGGAAGUGAAAGCAAAACAUCAGAGAACUUGGACACAUAGGAAGUAGGAACUAAGGAAGAAUACUGCUGGGCAGGAACUGAGGGAGCACAGUGAGGCUGUUCUGGAAGAGUGUAGAAGUCAGCCCUGUGUUCACUCGUUAGUACCCAGCCCCAGUGGCGUCUUCCCCUUUCACAUGCUUCAGUUUUCCACUAUUUUUCUUCCUUCCUUUUUCUUUCUUUUUUUUCCUUAUUGAAGUAUAGUUGAUUUACAACAUUGUGUUACUUUCAGGUGUACAGCAUAGUGAUUCAGUAAUUUUUGCAGAUUCUUUUCCAUUACAGGUUAUUACAAGAUACGAGGUACAGUGCCCUGUGCUAUUCAUUGUGAUCGUGUUCUUUGGAAAGGCUGAACACUCUAGACAAACCCACCAUGCUGUAAGGAGGCCCAAGCAGCCAUGUGGAAAGGACAACACGGAGAAGAACCAAGGUCCCUGGCUGACAGCCCAAGCUGAGAUCCCAGCCAGCAGCCAGCACCAAACAUGGAAGAAGGAUCACACUGUCAGGCAGCCUUUGGAAAACCUCACUGUACACUCCUGAGAGAAUGAGAGUGAAAAAGGCAAAAAUUCCCGGGCUUCCCUGGUGGCACAGUGGUUAAGAAUCCACCUGCCAAUGCAGGGGAUGCAGGUUAAAGCCCUGGUCCAGGAAGAUCCCAUAUGCCGCAGAGCAACGAAGCCCGUGCACCACAACUACCGAGCCUCCGCUCUAGAGCCCGCAAGCCACAACUACUGAGCCCACGAGCCACAACUACUGAAGCCCACGCACCUAGAGCCCAUGCUUCACAGCAAGAGAAGGCAUCACAAUGAGAAGCCCGCGCACCACAGUGAAGAGUAGCCCCUGCCCACCGAAACUAGAGAAAGCCCGCGUGCAGCAAUGAAGACCCAACACAGCCAAAAAUAAAAAUAAAUAAAAUAAUUUUUUUUUAAUUUCUAAAAACAAAAAGAAAUUCCCCACCUCAAAACCAGGUCAUUUCACUUGCACUUUAUUGUGGUUCCUUUUGUUUUGUUGUUGUUCUUCUUCUUUUUUUCUCUGUUAUCAGUCUUCUUUAAUAUAUAGAUUUAUUCUUUCAGGUGUAUAUUUUGGAAUAGAGAGUGAAAUAUAAUCUA